UACGGAAGGUGCAAGCGUUGCUCGGAAUUAUUGGGCGUAAAGGGAACGCAGGCGGUUUAGUAAGUCGGGUGUGAAAUCCCAGGGCUCAACCCUGGAACUGCAUUCGAAACUGCUAAGCUAGAGUACGAGAGAGGAAAGCGGAAUUCCUGGUGUAGAGGUGAAAUUCGUAGAUAUCAGGAGGAACACCGGCGGCGAAGGCGGCUUUCUGGCUCGAUACUGACGCUCAGGUUCGAAAGCGUGGGGAGCAAACAGG
rnacentral:rRNA from 1 species